AGCGUACACGGUGGAUGCCCUGGCAGUCAGAGGCGAUGAAGGACGUGCUAAUCUGCGAUAAGCGUCGGUAAGGUGAUAUGAACCGUUAUAACCGGCGAUUUCCGAAUGGGGAAACCCAGUGUGUUUCGACACACUAUCAUUAACUGAAUCCAUAGGUUAAUGAGGCGAACCGGGGGAACUGAAACAUCUAAGUACCCCGAGGAAAAGAAAUCAACCGAGAUUCCCCCAGUAGCGGCGAGCGAACGGGGAGGAGCCCAGAGCCUGAAUCAGUGUGUGUGUUAGUGGAAGCGUCUGGAAAGGCGCGCGAUACAGGGUGACAGCCCCGUACACAAAAAUGCACAUAUUGUGAGCUCGAUGAGUAGGGCGGGACACGUGGUAUCCUGUCUGAAUAUGGGGGGACCAUCCUCCAAGGCUAAAUACUCCUGACUGACCGAUAGUGAACCAGUACCGUGAGGGAAAGGCGAAAAGAACCCCGGCGAGGGGAGUGAAAAAGAACCUGAAACCGUGUACGUACAAGCAGUGGGAGCCUCUUUUAUGGGGUGACUGCGUACCUUUUGUAUAAUGGGUCAGCGACUUAUAUUCUGUAGCAAGGUUAACCGAAUAGGGGAGCCGAAGGGAAACCGAGUCUUAACUGGGCGUUAAGUUGCAGGGUAUAGACCCGAAACCCGGUGAUCUAGCCAUGGGCAGGUUGAAGGUUGGGUAACACUAACUGGAGGACCGAACCGACUAAUGUUGAAAAAUUAGCGGAUGACUUGUGGCUGGGGGUGAAAGGCCAAUCAAACCGGGAGAUAGCUGGUUCUCCCCGAAAGCUAUUUAGGUAGCGCCUCGUGAACUCAUCUCCGGGGGUAGAGCACUGUUUCGGCAAGGGGGUCAUCCCGACUUACCAACCCGAUGCAAACUGCGAAUACCGGAGAAUGUUAUCACGGGAGACACACGGCGGGUGCUAACGUCCGUCGUGAAGAGGGAAACAACCCAGACCGCCAGCUAAGGUCCCAAAGUCAUGGUUAAGUGGGAAACGAUGUGGGAAGGCCCAGACAGCCAGGAUGUUGGCUUAGAAGCAGCCAUCAUUUAAAGAAAGCGUAAUAGCUCACUGGUCGAGUCGGCCUGCGCGGAAGAUGUAACGGGGCUAAACCAUGCACCGAAGCUGCGGCAGCGACACUAUGUGUUGUUGGGUAGGGGAGCGUUCUGUAAGCCUGUGAAGGUGUACUGUGAGGUAUGCUGGAGGUAUCAGAAGUGCGAAUGCUGACAUAAGUAACGAUAAAGCGGGUGAAAAGCCCGCUCGCCGGAAGACCAAGGGUUCCUGUCCAACGUUAAUCGGGGCAGGGUGAGUCGACCCCUAAGGCGAGGCCGAAAGGCGUAGUCGAUGGGAAACAGGUUAAUAUUCCUGUACUUGGUGUUACUGCGAAGGGGGGACGGAGAAGGCUAUGUUGGCCGGGCGACGGUUGUCCCGGUUUAAGCGUGUAGGCUGGUUUUCCAGGCAAAUCCGGAAAAUCAAGGCUGAGGCGUGAUGACGAGGCACUACGGUGCUGAAGCAACAAAUGCCCUGCUUCCAGGAAAAGCCUCUAAGCAUCAGGUAACAUCAAAUCGUACCCCAAACCGACACAGGUGGUCAGGUAGAGAAUACCAAGGCGCUUGAGAGAACUCGGGUGAAGGAACUAGGCAAAAUGGUGCCGUAACUUCGGGAGAAGGCACGCUGAUAUGUAGGUGAAGUCCCUCGCGGAUGGAGCUGAAAUCAGUCGAAGAUACCAGCUGGCUGCAACUGUUUAUUAAAAACACAGCACUGUGCAAACACGAAAGUGGACGUAUACGGUGUGACGCCUGCCCGGUGCCGGAAGGUUAAUUGAUGGGGUUAGCGCAAGCGAAGCUCUUGAUCGAAGCCCCGGUAAACGGCGGCCGUAACUAUAACGGUCCUAAGGUAGCGAAAUUCCUUGUCGGGUAAGUUCCGACCUGCACGAAUGGCGUAAUGAUGGCCAGGCUGUCUCCACCCGAGACUCAGUGAAAUUGAACUCGCUGUGAAGAUGCAGUGUACCCGCGGCAAGACGGAAAGACCCCGUGAACCUUUACUAUAGCUUGACACUGAACAUUGAGCCUUGAUGUGUAGGAUAGGUGGGAGGCUUAGAAGUGUGGACGCCAGUCUGCAUGGAGCCGACCUUGAAAUACCACCCUUUAAUGUUUGAUGUUCUAACGUUGACCCGUGAUCCGGGUUGCGGACAGUGUCUGGUGGGUAGUUUGACUGGGGCGGUCUCCUCCUAAAGAGUAACGGAGGAGCACGAAGGUUGGCUAAUCCUGGUCGGACAUCAGGAGGUUAGUGCAAUGGCAUAAGCCAGCUUGACUGCGAGCGUGACGGCGCGAGCAGGUGCGAAAGCAGGUCAUAGUGAUCCGGUGGUUCUGAAUGGAAGGGCCAUCGCUCAACGGAUAAAAGGUACUCCGGGGAUAACAGGCUGAUACCGCCCAAGAGUUCAUAUCGACGGCGGUGUUUGGCACCUCGAUGUCGGCUCAUCACAUCCUGGGGCUGAAGUAGGUCCCAAGGGUAUGGCUGUUCGCCAUUUAAAGUGGUACGCGAGCUGGGUUUAGAACGUCGUGAGACAGUUCGGUCCCUAUCUGCCGUGGGCGCUGGAGAACUGAGGGGGGCUGCUCCUAGUACGAGAGGACCGGAGUGGACGCAUCACUGGUGUUCGGGUUGUCAUGCCAAUGGCACUGCCCGGUAGCUAAAUGCGGAAGAGAUAAGUGCUGAAAGCAUCUAAGCACGAAACUUGCCCCGAGAUGAGUUCU
rnacentral:rRNA from 1 species